UACGGAGGUGGCAAGCGUUGCUCGGAAUCACUGGGCGUAAAGGGCGCGUAGGCGGGGAGGUAAGUCGGGUGUGAAAUCCCUCGGCCCAACCGAGGAACUGCGCCCGAGACUGCUUCUCUUGAGUCCCGGAGAGGAAGAUGGAAUUCCCGGUGUAGCGGUGAAAUGCGUAGAUAUCUGGAGGAACACCGGUGGCGAAGGCGGCAUCCUGGACCAAUACUGACACUGAAAAGCGAAAGCCAGGGGAGCAAACGGG
rnacentral:rRNA from 1 species